GCGGAGUAAACAAUGACAGGGGCGGGGCUCGGCGCGGGGGUCCCGAGGCUGGAGCUGGGGAUCCCUGUCCCAGGCCUCUGGGAUAUGGGUCCGGACAAGGGAACUGAGCGGACGCCUGGGCCGCUCCCACGCGUGCAUUUCCUGUCGCCGGCUGCCGGAGGAGACGUCAAACACCUGCCUCGAUCCUGGAAGUUUAGCAGUUUAGCAAACAUAGAAAUGCUCCUGUGGCCGAUUUUGGACUGCAAUCCCAAUCCAAGCCGGCUGCUUCUAGGAGAGCCGCUUUGACUCUUGGGGUCCAGUUCCCAUGGGCCUUGCCACGGGCAUACAGGGGUGAGUCUAGUUCUCAACUCGAUUGUUCUCACACUGGAACCGGAACACAGAAGUCUCCCUUAACCUUCAGCACAUAUCGGUACUGCAGGCCCGAUCUGAACCCCGACGUGGGGGAAAACCAUCAGGGGACCGUCCCUGCCAGACUCCUGUCAGGGCUAGGAGGCUCGAACCCGGGCCGAAGGAUGCUGGCGGCGGCCGUUGCCGGGCAACACGAUGUUU
rnacentral:lncRNA from 1 species